UUGGAGGGCAAGUCUGGUGCCAGCAGCCGCGGUAAUUCCAGCUCCAAUAGCGUAUAUUAAAGUUGUUGCAGUUAAAAAGCUCGUAGUUGAAUUUCGGGGUUCUACCGUUGGUCGGGCUUUGUCUGUACUGGCGUGUAGAAUUUCUACCUUCUGGGGAACCACCAUGUUAUUAAUUUAACGUGGUGGGAAACCAGGACCUUUACCUUGAAAAAUUGAGUGUUCAAAGCAGGCUUAUGUCUGAAUACAUUAGCAUGGAAUAUAAAAUGGACGUGGUCCUGUUUU
rnacentral:rRNA from 1 species